AGCCUGCCCACCCUGGAA
rnacentral:snRNA from 1 species